CCACAAAAGCAGCCCCCCACUUCACAAGAGUCCCCUACUUUUAAUAUGCUUUUUCUGGACUUUAAAAGAACUUUUAUAACUAGCACCUGUGCUUCAGCUGAAGUACUAGGGACUUCAAGUGUACUUGCUUCAACUGCAGCUGUACUUCAUCUGAAGCCCCAUCCAGCUUCUAAUGAGCUUCUGAAUUUGUGAAUGUGUACUUCAGUUGAAGCACCAGGGCUUUUUAAGUGCUUCAUUUUGAUAGUAUUUUGUACUAGAGACUUAUUUGCUACUUCUCAGACUUUGACUGUUUGUUUGAAAGUUAUUUUGAUACAAAAUGUAUACUUAAGUUGUGCUUUUGAAACUUAGCAAUGUAGGACUUGUUUUGAGGGGGCUUCAAAAAUGCUUUUAAAACUUGUAUUUUUGUCAGAGUUCUCUGACUUGGAAAUUAAUUCAUAAAGUCAAUGAAAAUACAUGAAUAAAAAAAAUAAUUGUAAAUAAGUGUAAAAUCAAUAUUUUAGUUUGAUAAGGAUUUAACAUUCUACAGAUCAUGGUGGUGAAAAAUAUAUUUAUUAAAUUCCAUCAAAAAUAUAUGAUUCAUUAUGAAGUCAAUUAUACCAAUUCAGAGCCAGUUUUGACAUUAAAAAAUACUUUCUAAAAAUUAUUAUUGCACAUGAAUCAUCUAAAUAUAUUGUAAUUAACAGGUAUCAUCAGUAUCUGCUUAACAUAAAAAAAGAAGAAUUAAAAAAAAAUAUUUUUCUUCAUGAAUAUUAACAUAGUUCAAAGAUGCUCAAAGACUUAAAUUACAUGUCUGCAAUUAUUCUGCACCCUUCUGUAAAUCUACCACUGUUUUCUUCUACACAAAUAUUCUUAUCACAAACAUCUGUGAUCCCUCAAGUGGAAAUUAUGACCCCUUCCAACAGUUUUCAAAAUACCCCAUGUUAAGCUGACCUAUCUGAUACAUGAGAAUAGUGAGUGAUAAAGCAAGUUUACAAUACUCUAGCUACAUGUAACCUAAUACCCAGAACAAAUCUUCAUCCUGGCAAUUUAUACAGAAGUGUUUGAAUGUCUGGAUCUGCUUACAUUAGUUUUAAGAUAUGUUAUUAUGAGUGCAUGAGCUAGUAUAAAGUUAAAUGUGAUUAUUGUUAUUUAGUUGAAAUGAUUCCAACUAAUACAGGUUUACAACAAUUUUCGGAAACUAAAUUAACAUGUAUAAUGGGACAUCAAAUGUGUAGUUAAAGUUCCUUAGCAGUUAAAAAUGGAGGCAAAUUGAUAACCAAUUCUAUGGAAUACAUUUAUGACCAAAUUCUCCAAAAGUCAGUGAGAAGUUUGAAAAUGAAAGAAGAAAAGGAUACAAAAGAAUACAGAACUUACUUGGAUGCAGAAGAGGUAUUCCCAUCAUAUAAAAUCAAACCAGCAUUGUGCCAGUGAAUCUGUUUGGAAAAGACUGAAAGUGAAGGACAUGUAUAAAUUGAAAUUUAAUAGAUGUUACGCUCAUAAGAUGUUUUAUAGUGUUAUACCUUUAUGCAUGGAACCGUAUUUGUUAAUGUGGGUGAAAUGACUGAAUAAAUUUCUUUGAUGUAACAUUUAA